rnacentral:rRNA from 1 species
UACGGAGGAUGCGAGCGUUAUCCGGAUUUAUUGGGUUUAAAGGGUGCGUAGGCGGACUGUCAAGUCAGCGGUAAAAUUGAGAGGCUCAACCUCUACCCGCCGUUGAAACUGGUGGUCUUGAGUGGAUGAGAAGUACGCGGAAUGCGUGGUGUAGCGGUGAAAUGCAUAGAUAUCACGCAGAACUCCGAUUGCGAAGGCAGCGUACCGGCAUCCAACUGACGCUGAGGCACGAAAGCGUGGGGAUCAAACAGG